AAUAAGGUGCCUGAUUAAAGGAAUAUCUUGAUAGGAUAGAUAAUGUAAGAAAUUACUCUUAUUA
rnacentral:tRNA from 1 species